AGCUGCCGGGGGCGGAGGCCGCGCCGCACAAGGGAGAACCUUACCAAAGGGCAGGCGCGGCAGGCAGGCGCGGCAGCCCCUCCGAGAUCCAAGAUCCCGAACCCUACGUGCCUUUAGAGCUGAAGCGCUGGUUGAAACAUAGAUGUCAACUUUCAGAUUUGAAAAUAAGGGAUCAGCAGCCUCACCUGACCCGGGGACAGGCUACGGGAUAUCUAACAAUCCGGGAUAGCAGCGGGAAACGGCUCUAGAAUAAGGGAAUUUCCCGCAAAAAAGGGAAGGUUGACAGCUAUGGGUUGAAAAUCGGGCCGGUUUUGUGUGUGAAAACGUGCCCCGGAAACUGAAUUAAUAUCCAUCCUACGGGAUAGUCGGUAGAGCAUGAGACGCUUAAUCUCAGGGUCGUGGGUUCGAGCCCCGUGUUAGCCAUUGCAGGGGGUCGGACUAGAUGACCCCUAUGGUACCUUCCAACUCUAAAGUUAUAUGAUUCAACAACAGACCAGCGUGUUUUUCGCAAAUGAGGCAACCCACAAAAGUGCCUCGCUGAUUCAUUUCUCCCUUCAGUUCCUUUCUGCUCUGAGGUGUACUUAAAGCGGGCGCGCCUAACGCUGUCUGCAUGUGUACAGUCUAAAACUGGGGAAAGGCACACAAGCAAAGCAGUCUAACUGCUGUUUGUCUCCGGCAUCUGGUCUUCAAAGGCACACUGUUGACACAUGGAGGUUAUGUUCCCAGCUAUUAGCAUUGGCUCGUUGCCUGCAGCAGGUCUGUCCGUGCAUUUAUGCAAUCUUUAAACGCUGGUUAUAAGGUCACCACAACAUCCUGUAGCACUCCUGUGAUCAGUGCAGUACCUUAUGUGGACAGGGAAGGGUGCAGAGCUGGGGGGGGGGGGAGAGAACAGUAUCUAGGAAAGGCAUAAGAAAAUAGUUAUAUCUGAGAUCUAUGCAUACUUCUUUGAAAGUUAAUGAAACAUAUUUCUUUUUUACUUCCAGGUAAACUUGCUUAUAAUUAGAGUGGAAUAUUAAGGGCGUUUUUCACAUUAACAGUAAGGCUGUCUUCCUGUUGUAUACACUUUUUUGGGAGUUGAUCCCAGUGAAAUUUACUUCAAACUAAAUAUUAAUGGUGAAUAUAAAAAUACCCUCCUUUUGGUCUGACGUGUGUUUGUUGUGAUUGCCAUCCUAUAUCUACUUCACUGGGAAUAAGUCUCGUUUAAAUCAACACAUCUUAUUUCUUGAAUAUACAUGUGUAGGCUGACACUGUUAGGUUGCAAUUUUAAGCCUUUAAACUUUGUAGUGUCUUUCAAAAGAGUUUGGUUUUCGUCUUUUCCAGUAGCUUAAUGUGCUUAAUUAAGGCAACUGGAGCCAUUUACUUUAUGUUGGGUUGCUGACUGACCAGAGAAAAAAAAAGCAAAAACAAAUUGCCUGGCUUGCUCUUGUGACUUCAACAGGAACUCUGUGUGCAGAAUCAGCUGGUGAAGUUUUUCACAGCAUGGAGAGAAACAUUAUUGUCUAUUGAUAUCUGUCCAUCCAGCUGCUUUUAAAAAUAGUAAAAGCAGUGACAGUCUGAAAAGUUAGGAAAACUAGUUUAGUGAACACCUGGAUGAUUUGGCACAUGUGUGAGUUAUGUGUGCUAGUCCAUGCAGGAACUAAUCCAAGGAAGAUCCUGCCUCAGGAUUGGAGGCUGGACCCAGUGGCUUUCAGUGAUUUGCCAGCAGAGUUAUAGGUUACCUAAGCCUUUGGUUUGGUAACCUGUAAUCUGUUCUUAUGGUGAUAUGGGCUCAUUUAAAACAGGGAGUAGCACCUUCUCCUUCCAGCAAAACAAGGAGUCAUUGCAAAGGAGUUAUAUUCAAGGCAGUGUCUGAGCUAUGGGAACUAAAGGGAUUCCCUUCCUAAUGUAGGGUUGACCUUUAACUGCUGCACAACAAGUUGUAGUGAGGUAAUCACUCGCCAGAUUGUCCCAUCCUCCUUAAAGGUGCAGCAUCGCUUCCAGCCUCCACUCCAAAAAUUGCCAGCCUUAUUCCUGAUGUCAAGGAACACAACAUCAUACAUGAGAUACACCCAGGUGAUAUACACAGCUGCACCCAGAGCCAGCCAAAAGCAAUUUUGCUGCCAGAGGCAAAGGACAGGCUGUCACCCACUCUCCAUUCACAGAAGCCCACCAGUAACUAAGCCUCACUUGAACACUGACACACAGACUAGCUUACGGGACACAGGGCUCUGUCGUUUAAUACCUUGCUGCCACUUGCUCAUCAGUCUGCUGGGCGGCUCCUAGUUCCCUCUCUGACAAAUGGUGCAACACAGCAGCAGUGGCACCUGCACCCAUCCCAUGCGCAGAACAGCAAACGUAACAUGCACGGUGCCUGCCAGAGUAUGUGAGCUGGGCUGGUGCCCCUCUGCCUGCUCACUUGGUCAAGGGCCUUGUUCAACGACACCAUCAUAUUUGGAGAAGGCAGCCCAGGCAAGCAACACAAGCGAGCAUUGCCAUGACCAGACCCAGGAGGAUGGGAAUGAUUAAUGGGGAGCUGUGAGGGAAUUCCAGAGAACGGCUGGAAGGCGGCCACCUCAUCUGCUGCCACAUGGUGGGUUUGAUCAGGAUUAAGUCUUGGAUCAACACUGCUUGCAUUUAAAACUACCUUUCUUGCUUCCUUCCUUUCUUGGCUCCACAUUUCUUCAUGCUUUCAGUGACUCUGUGGGUUUACAUACAGUAGAAACUUUAUUAUUCACCAUAAAUGAGUGUUUGCUCAGCUGAGGCCUCCUAUAAAUGCUGUCUUCUGGCAAGGCCAAGAGCAAUAGCGUGUCCUCUUCGUGCAAUGAUCCUCUUUUAACAGCUUCGACUUGAGCUUUGCCAGUAACAUAUGGGCACAUUUCCAUUGCCUGCAAGAAGUCCAAGACAGUGACAAUCCCAACCUUCGGGUUAAAAAUACUAAUGAGACCCCCUCCCCAUGCAUUAUACGUGCUGGAUUCAAACCUGUGCAAAGGGAACAUCCAAUAAGUCAGAGCAGCAGAGGGGCACAUCUGUUCUGCUACAGAGGUUACUCAGUGGGUCCCUCCUAAGCCAGGGAGCCUUAGGCAUGGGGAAUGAAAGUGCCCCUCUUGGCACUCAAAAUGCUCCCCAAAUCACACCCUGCGUGUUUUUACCCAUCUGGGAUGUUUCCUUAAAGUCUGCACAUGCCUUUUGCUUGCCUGGAUAGAGGCUAGAGGUGUGUGUCUACUGUUCCAAGAUAAAAUUUGCAUUCAUUACUUCAUCAGCUUUUGCCUCUGGUAUGCUGGUUUGCCACUGCAGGAUCUACACUUUUUUAGAAAGUAGAACAAAUACAAAAUACUGUAGGGAAGAGCUGAAUCUGCAGCAUGUAGAACUUUUUUUAUUUUGAGGUGAUUUUGGUGUGUUACUGUUAAAAAUAUUAAAGAUGCUUUUUCCUUGU
rnacentral:lncRNA from 1 species